rnacentral:rRNA from 1 species
CUAUGCGCCUUGCCAGCCCGCUCAGGUGUGCCAGCAGCCGCGGUAAUACGUAGGGGCAAGCGUUAUCCGGAUUUACUGGGUGUAAAGGGAGCGUAGACGGCAGGGCAAGUCUGGAGUGAAAGGCAGGGGCCCAACCCCUGGACUGCUCUGGAAACUGUCCGGCUGGAGUGCAGGAGAGGUAAGUGGAAUUCCUAGUGUAGCGGUGAAAUGCGUAGAUAUUAGGAGGAACACCAGUGGCGAAGGCGGCUUACUGGACUGUAACUGACGUUGAGGCUCGAAAGCGUGGGGAGCAAACAGG